AACAGGAUUAGAUACCCUGGUAGUCCACGCCGUAAACGAUGUCGACUCGGAGGUUGUGCCCUUGAGGCGUGGCUUCCGGAGCUAACGCGUUAAGUCGACCGCCUGGGGAGUACGGCCGCAAGGUUAAAACCCAAAUGAAUUGACGGGGGCCCGCACAAGCGGUGGAGCAUGUGGUUUAAUUCGAUGCAACGCGAAGAACCUUACCUACUCUUGACAUCCAGAGAACUUAGCAGAGAUGCUUUGGUGCCUUCGGGAACUCUGAGACAGGUGCUGCAUGGCUGUCGUCAGCUCGUGUUGUGAAAUGUUGGGUUAAGUCCCGCAACGAGCGCAACCCUUAUCCUUUGUUGCCAGCGGUCCGGCCGGGAACCCAAAGGAGACUGCCAGUGAUAAACUGGAGGAAGGUGGGGAUGACGUCAAGUCAUCAUGGCCCUUACGAGUAGGGCUACACACGUGCUACAAUGGCGCAUACAAAGAGAAGCGACCUCGCGAGAGCAAGCGGACCUCAUAAAGUGCGUCGUAGUCCGGAUUGGAGUCUGCAACUCGACUCCAUGAAGUCGGAAUCGCUAGUAAUCGUGGAUCAGAAUGCCACGGUGAAUACGUUCCCGGGCCUUGUACACACCGCCCGUCACACCAUGGGAGUGGGUUGCAAAAGAAGUAGGUAGCUUAACCUUCGGGAGGGCGCUUACCACUUUGUGAUUCAUGACUGGGGUGAAGUCGUAACAAGGUAACC
rnacentral:rRNA from 1 species